AUUGAACGCUGGCGGCAUGCCUUACACAUGCAAGUCGAACGGCAGCGGACCUUCGGGUGCCGGCGAGUGGCGAACGGGUGAGUAAUGCAUCGGAACGUGCCAUUGAGUGGGGGAUAACGUAGCGAAAGUUACGCUAAUACCGCAUAUUCUGUGAGCAGGAAAGCAGGGGACCGCAAGGCCUUGCGCUCUUUGAGCGGCCGAUGUCAGAUUAGCUAGUUGGUGAGGUAAAGGCUUACCAAGGCGACGAUCUGUAGCGGGUCUGAGAGGAUGAUCCGCCACACUGGAACUGAGACACGGUCCAGACUCCUACGGGAGGCAGCAGUGGGGAAUUUUGGACAAUGGGCGCAAGCCUGAUCCAGCCAUGCCGCGUGAGUGAAGAAGGCCUUCGGGUUGUAAAGCUCUUUCGGCCGGGAAGAAAUCGCAUGGGUUAAUACCCUGUGUGGAUGACGGUACCGGAAUAAGAAGCACCGGCUAACUACGUG
rnacentral:rRNA from 1 species